rnacentral:rRNA from 1 species
GACGAACGCUGGCGGCGUGCUUAACACAUGCAAGUCGAGCGGUAAGGCCCUUUCGGGGGUACACGAGCGGCGAACGGGUGAGUAACACGUGGGUGACCUGCCCUCAGCUCUGGGAUAAGCCUGGGAAACCGGGUCUAAUACUGGAUAUGACUCCAUGACGCAUGUUGUGGGGUGGAAAGCCUUGUGCGGCUGAGGAUGGGCCCGCGGCCUAUCAGCUUGUUGGUGGGGUGAUGGCCUACCAAGGCGACGACGGGUAGCCGGCCUGAGAGGGCGACCGGCCACACUGGGACUGAGACACGGCCCAGACUCCUACGGGAGGCAGCAGUGGGGAAUCUUGCGCAAUGGGCGAAAGCCUGACGCAGCGACGCCGCGUGAUGGAUGACGGCCU